CCAUUGCUCCGAGCCCUCCCGAGGUUAUUCCAGUGCCAGAAGAGCUGUUGGAUUCUGUCAGGAUGACACCAUUAUUAGACAUGCUAAGACUUUCCUCCAUCCAUAACUACGCAGCUGCUUCUGUAAUUAUGAGAAAUGUGAGUUUCUGGUGUGUCCUGGACAGACUGAGCUCAGUCGCUAUUUGAGCUCCCAGUCCUGGAGCCUGAGUGGAUGGCACAGCUGUGCAUUAACAGCUUGUCUUGUGUCGAGCAAGUGUUAAACCAAGCUGCGAGGCUCUCCUCUGAAUUACUCACAUCAAGAGCCAUUACCUCGAGGUGAACAGUGAAAACUUUGAUGGUGAUUAAAGCGUGACCGUCAUAAGGACCUAGUUAGAAAUCUUGCUGUAAUUGUGAAUUUCAGCUUCGUAAGAAAACAUCUUGGCAAACGACAUUGCAGAGAGAAGAACACAGUAGAAAUUGAAAGAAAGGAAGUUUUAUUCAGCUGUGAGCUGAUUGGAGGUCGUGUGAAGGUCUGACUGAUGCAGGGAUUAGUACUUACAUGAACCUGUUUGCCACCUAUGAACAAAUUUAACCAAAAUACCUAGUGUAGGUAACCUUAAUUUAUGAUAAUAAAAUACGAACUUCCAAGCAUAUUUGCAUCACUUAUGUGGACUGCAAGUGGGACAGUAAAUUUUUCCUUGUAAUAGUAUGAAAUCGAUGACACAAAAUCAUCAUUAAGAAGACAGGUUUCAGAAAAGUAAUGUUUUGGAGUCGGUGCUGUCUUCUUUAUUGCUGAGGACUCUGGAAUUAACGCUGUUGGAGCUCUGCUGCAAAGGAAAAGAAUGAGGUGUAUUUCACCUGAAUGAUUGCUUCAGAGGUUUGCAGCAGAAUAAAUUCCAGCAUGAGAAGAGUUGAGUUAGAAGGGACCUACAAUGAUCACCUAGCCUAACUGCCUGACCACUUCUAAUCGAAUCUCAAGGUUAUUUCAAGGACUAUGGCACUAGCGAAGUGUGAAGAAAGAGGAAAGCUGCAGUUCUUGGCAGUGUGAUCCCUCCCGAGCUGCCACAUCGCAACAGCCAUGCCACAAGGGAUUCCUGGCAGAUGGAAGACCACAGCUUGUGAUGUUCAGCAGCCACUGAGGUAUACCACAGGAUAAUGAAAAACAUGAGGCAUGGUGUGAAGCUACAUCCUUGAUCUUGUCUGAGAGCUGCUGCUGGGACUGGACCCAAUGCCUCUGUCCAAAGCUGCUUUCCACUGCAUCUAGUCAUUAGACAUGCUCAGGAUAUGUCCAUUGGAUCAACAAGCAGAUGUGACCCACUCUGAGACUCUAAUCUCUGACAAAAAGGAAACAGCAAUACAUGUUUUGGGGCAGGGGACAACUAUUUCAACAAUAUUUCACACUCAGAUUGUACAAGUUGUGCCCUGCUGGAACUGCUAAUGAAUCAGGAGUGCUGUAGUGAAAAUGGAGCGUAAGACAUUCAUAAAUCUUCUUUUUAAAGCACCUAUGGCAGUGUUGGCAGAUAUUAUCUCAAUAAUUCACGAAUUCCUGUUCUAUUACAGGAGAUGUGCUUUUAUAUUGUGGGGUUUGAUUUUUUUGACUGAAAAACUGUACCUAAAAUCUCAGUCAAAUAUCUUUUGCUGCAGAAGUGUCUACACCAGGUUUUUACUGAAUGUAUUACUACAGAUGGAUAAAGGAGGAAGAAAAGAACCCAUUACUUUCUUUUGCAGGUGGAAGUUCCCUUGAAAUUCUCCUUGCCAGCAGCAGCUUCUCAAAUGAUCAGAAGUAGCUACAGAUCAGACAUCUAAGAACUGCAAAAGGUUAACUCCUGCCACGGCAAUUAGGCAAAAGAGAAUGUAUGAGGGCACAUUCCUUGAUCCUCCAAGGACCAUAACACAGAGGAAAACAAGAGCAAGCUCUUCUGGCCAUGUUUGGUCAAAUUAUGUCAGCUCUGCUGGUCAGGUGGGACUGUACUGCUACAGUUUGAAAUCACAGAGCACUCCUUAUUACAGACUAGGAAGGCAAGAUGUGUUUCUCUCUGAACUGCUCCACUGAGCUAAGGUGGCAUGAACCCCAGCUUACCUGAGUCUAAGUGCCAGGGGUCAGUAGCGGCCGACAUUGGUGGGAUGGUGAGUGGAGAUGCUCCGCAGUUGGAUUCCACCAGUUCUCCUUGGAUGUGGACGUGAGAGGAGACGUUGGUAGGUCUCAGAGCUGCUUUGAGUGGAGCAAUCUGGUUGAACUGUACUCUCGACAGGCAGCCAGUAAAUCCUGGGGUGUUGUAUUUAUAUAUAUCUUGGUCAAUCUUCCCAAUUUCUAUGCGAAAUUAAGGAGAAAAAAUAAAAUAAGUCAAAACAA